UCUUCCUCAUCCUUUCUUUUGCCUCAUUCCUCCCAGAUCCUUUACUCACUCACAUCUCUCUCUCUGCCCUUAUCUAGACCUUCCUCCCUCCCCUCCCUCUCCUCCCUUCCCUCUCUUCCUGCCCUGCCCUCCUGCAGCUGCCCCAGCCUUGAGCGCAUGGGAGUUUGCCCCCACAUUCGGUCACUGUUCCUACUAGAGCCAGCAUCAGACAGAUGGAGCCAAUGCCAACCAGGUACCGAGGAGGAGUGGGGGAUGGAGAGGUGAAACCUUUACCCACGAACAGCUUAGAAUAUGAGUGACGGCUAACAACUAAAAGCAAAAGAAAACAAAUGAAACCCAAGAGACAGUGAGUCCCGUGAAUACAACACUCGGGAGCUCAGGUAUUGAGCACCAGAACCAUCGUACAGCCAUGUUUGCUUCUAAUCCUGCCUACGCCAGCAUCAGAGACCAACUUUCGGGCUAGACUGUGUUCUACCUCCAAUGUGUUUCAAUCAUUUCCCUCCACAGCAGAGCCAUUCCUGAGUCUUAAGAUGGACACCUAGGGCUCCAUGGUGUAUGUGGAGUUUCUGAGCAGAGCAGCACAGGAGAUACGAGACCAACUCCGACAGGAAAGAAAUGGGCUUGAAGGCAGAGCACCAGCGCAUCUUCCAAUAAGGAGGCAAUCCAUGUGAUGAUGCUCAGGAAGUCCACUUGAGCCUGCAUCACUGAGCCAUGAGAAGAGCUACCCACGAGCUGUUUCCUGACAUAGCAAUUUCCAGACCAGCAGCAGGAGCAUCACCAGAGAAUCAGUCUCUGCCUUCCCCCCAGACCCACAGAGUCAGAAGCUGUAGAGAUAAGGUCCAUCACCUUCUGUAUGAAGGAGACCUCCAGGGGAUUCAAAUGAAAGGGAAGUUUGGCAAGCAAUGUCUUAGACUUUCUAAAGCCUAUGGGCGUAGUUUGACUUCAGCACACUUUGUAUGAACAAGCAAAAAGUAGGCGGGGGUUAUUGAGCUGCUGAAAUCACAGCUUCUCUGAGGUAUUGCAUCACUGCAAAUGUAAGUUGAGUGUAGCUUGUCAGAACUGGAAGGUAACUAUAGGUAUAAAAUACAGUAUAAAAGCAAUCACAUUGAAUUUGCCUAAGCAUUAUCACCUGCUGGAAGCUUCCAGUGUAGGGUCUGCUCCAAUUUUAACAAAAGAGAAGAUGGCCAUGUUUUAAAGAAUGAUUAAAAGUAUUAGCAUCAAACAGAUUAUUUUUUUUCUUGAUGAAGAACUGACUUAAAAUUGUGGCUGCAACAGAAGACUUACCAUGUCGCUCCCUGAAGCCACCUCAUGCACCUUUGUGGGAAACACUGAUCUUAUAGACCCUUUUCUUAUGUAAUAGUGGAAACCUUUGGUCCUAAAAUGUGUGUGCCUUUGCCUAAGACCUCUCACUGUCCACUUCAUACUCCUAUCACUGAAUAACACAGAGUGAGUAAUUUAUAAAGGAUAGAGGCUGGUGUUUAUUUAUUUUGAGAUUUGUUUUUGGUUUAGCUCAUAGUUCUGGAGGUUUAGAGUCUAAAAGCACAAGGCCAACAUCUGCUCAGCAUCUUCUCAGGGCUUCCUUCUGAGUCCCAGCACGGCACACAUCAUCACAGAGCUUCACAGAGCAAACACGCUACCCCCAGUCUCUCCUCUCCCUCCAAAGCCGUGGAUGCAACCCAGACUUAACACCUUCAUGAGUUCAUCUGAUCCCAAUCCCUCCCAGAGCCACCAUUUCUAAAUACCACGCUCAUGCUGAUUUGGACAUCAAGUUUACACAGGCAUUGCAAAUACAUUGCUUUUAAGUAAAUUGAGUUGAGGCCCAAGCCCAGGUCCCCGCCCCCUACAUCAUCUAGUUCUAGGUAUUUUGCUUUAUGCU